AUAUUAGAGGACGGAACGGGCAGCCGUCACCCAUUGUUAGGAGAUGCGGGAGUGUCGCCCCGCCUAAUAU
rnacentral:ncRNA from 1 species